ensembl:lncRNA
GUUUUUAAUAGUGGCUGGCUUGCAGAGUUAUAGUGAGAAGGGUUUGACUUGGAAGUGCAACAUGGGUGGGAAUUCAGCUUCCCAAUGAAGAAAACAGUUGUGUGACUGGGCCUUUCUGACCAUCUGAAAAUGUAUAUAAUUUUAAACCAUUUGAGCUAUUUUUACUGGGAGCUCCCCCAUGGUUGCUUAAUUAAAGAAAAUGACGAGUUAAUCCUGAGAGGAAAUGCACCUUGGAUAUGUGAUCUUCUAAUUUGUACCCAGGGAUGAGGACUGGAACCACACUGGAGCACAACAAGGGUCCUGCAGCUCUGGCUUAUCUCUGCUGUGGAAGAGAGGGGAAUUUCCUUGGCAAGUCUCUGAGCUCUUUGUGGUCUGGAGAACCACGAGUGCACAUCCCAAGCCACGUCCAGGUUGUACAUCCCGGUUUCUGUGGUGCGAGGUACCUGCUCUGAGCAGGAGGGGGCUGAGCAAAGGUGUGGAGCCAGGUCCCACAGCAGCCCAGAGUACUUGUGAAAAGGCAUUUCUUAGCAACAGGAUACUGAACUUUCUGCUCUGGCCCAGGAGAAUCCUUAUGUAUCAGCAGCUUGAAAAGGGACACAGGAAAAAGUCUUGGCAAGGAACCAGACACCUCCAAGAUGGAAAUUCUGUUCUACAGCCAGCCCUCAAGGUAGUGGUUUAAAUGAAAAAUGACAUUUUGGAAUGGGGUGAAAUUUUAAAAUCCCAGCAAAAAGAAGAUUCUGAGUUCUUAAAAUUGUAUUUUGCCCUGCAAAAGCUGCUGAUACUGCUGCAAACCCAGAGGUAAGUAGUUGAUGGUUCCUUUUUAUUUUUUUUAUAUAUGUUUUUUCAAAGAAGAG